GAGAGUUAAAUAGUACGUGAAAUUGUUGAAAGGGAAACGAUUGAAGUCAGUCAUGCUAGUGAAAAAUCAGUUUGACGGGUUUUGAGUUCUUGAGUAGAGGCAGGGUCAAACCGUUUCUCUUUUGGACUUGAGAUUUGUUAGAUGUACUUUUUCUUUGGCAGGUCAACGUCGGUUUCGGGGGUUGUAAAAUACUUGGGGGAAAGUAGCUCUGCUUCGGGAGAGUGUUAUAGACCCUGGGAGAUGCAGCCUGCGGGAUCGAGGAUUGCAGCAAAUGCCUUCUGGCUUGUCGCCUGUUCCUGGGUGUUACCUCUCUUGUGACAACAUUCUUGCCACCGGAGGGUACUAAUGCCUACUGUUUAGUGCGAUCGAAAAUUUUGCUAAGGAUGUUGACGUAAUGGCUUUAAACGA
rnacentral:rRNA from 1 species